UACGUAGGGUGCAAGCGUUGUCCGGAUUUAUUGGGCGUAAAGAGCUCGUAGGCGGCUUGUCGCGUCGGCUGUGAAAUCUCGUGGCUUAACUGCGGGUCUGCAGCUGAUACGGGCGGGCUGGAGUUCGGUAGGGGAGACUGGAAUUCCUGGUGUAGCGGUGAAAUGCGCAGAUAUCAGGAGGAACACCGGUGGCGAAGGCGGGUCUCUGGGCCGAUACUGACGCUGAGGAGCGAAAGCGUGGGGAGCGAACAGG
rnacentral:rRNA from 1 species